rnacentral:snRNA from 1 species
CGUCGGCGGGGGCCUCGG